UGUCCUGGCAAUGGGCCAAGAGACACCUUCUUGGUAGUGGUGUUCUUAUAUCAGUCAGGGGCAGAGCAGAUGGCAGUCCUUUGUUCAUCCUAGCUUGAUGCUUGGCUUAGUGGCCAAAACUCUCUUAUGACUAGGACACAUAA